CAAUGGGCGCAAGCCUGAUCCAGCAAUGCCGCGUGCAGGAUGAAGGCCUUCGGGUUGUAAACUGCUUUUGUACGGAACGAAAAGCCCUGGGUUAAUACCCUGGGGCCAUGACGGUACCGUAAGAAUAAGCACCGGCUAACUACGUGCCAGCAGCCGCGGUAAUACGUAGGGUGCAAGCGUUAAUCGGAAUUACUGGGCGUAAAGCGUGCGCAGGCGGUUUUGUAAGACAGAGGUGAAAUCCCCGGGCUCAACCUGGGAACUGCCUUUGUGACUGCAAGGCUAGAGUACGGCAGAGGGGGAUGGAAUUCCGCGUGUAGCAGUGAAAUGCGUAGAUAUGCGGAGGAACACCGAUGGCGAAGGCAAUCCCCUGGGCCUGUACUGACGCUCAUGCACGAAAGCGUGGGGAGCAAACAGGAUUAGAUACCCUGGUAGUCCACGCCCUAAACGAUGUCAACUGGUUGUUGGGUCUUAACUGACUCAGUAACGAAGCUAACGCGUGAAGUUGACCGCCUGGGGAGUAC
rnacentral:rRNA from 1 species